rnacentral:rRNA from 1 species
CUACGGGUUGCCCCAGCGAGGAAUUUUGCGCAAUGGGGGAAACCCUGACGCAGCAACGCCGCGUGAGCGAAGAAGGCCCUCGGGUCGUAAAGCUCUGUCAAGUGGGAAAAAAAUUUUUUGAUCAAUAGUCAAAAGACUUGAUGGUACCACUGGAGGAAGCACCGGCUAACUCCGUGCCAGCAGCCGCGGUAAUACGGAGGGUGCAAGCGUUGUUCGGAUUUACUGGGCGUAAAGAGCGUGUAGGCGGUUUAGCAAGUCAGAUGUGAAAGCCCUGGGCUCAACCCGGGAAGUGCAUUUGAAACUGCUUCACUAGAGUAUGGGAGAGGAGAUUGGAAUUCCUGGUGUAGAGGUGAAAUUCGUAGAUAUCAGGAGGAACACCCGUGGCGAAGGCGAUUCUCUGGACCAAUACUGACGCUGAGACGCGAAAGCGUGGGGAGCAAACAGGAUUAGAUACCCGCGUAGUC